AGGAUAAUAAUAAAAGAAUGAGAGAAGUGAAUAAGUAGAGUCGGUCACUCACGGUGCAUGGUCACUCUCUCUGCACGUUCUCUUGCCCUCUUCUCUUUCUCUUUUCUUCUCUCUCUCUCAUCAUCUUCCCUAUUAAAGACUCUAACCAGUCACUGACUCUAGAGAGUGUCUAUGUGAGAGAGAAAGAGAGAGACAGAGUCAGCGUCUACAAAAGGAGAGAAAGAUAUAUAUAGAGACCUUGGACCAUUAACCGAUCAAAUCAUAACAAAAAAACAAAAUGGAUGUGUAUGGCUUAUCUUCACCAGAUAACUUACUUAGAAUCGACGACCUUCUCGACUUCUCCAACGAAGACAUCUUCUCCGCCUCUUCUUCCACUUCCACCGCCGCCACUUCCUCUUCUUCCUUCCCUCCUCCUCAUAACCCUAAUUUCCUCCACCACCAUCUCUCUUCCUCCGC
rnacentral:lncRNA from 1 species